AUCUGGCUGUCCAUUUGCUGAACGCUUGACCUUUGAACGUCUGAAAUGAGAGGCUCAUCUAAGCUCCACAGACCGAGAUACUGAGAGAAAAGUUCAUACAAGCACAAAAGAUAAACAAGACGUUCGGAAGACGCUACUCCUAUUAAACCAUGGAUCGGAUCCUGUAAAGAAACGUUUUGAUACUAAGCAUGCUUUCUUUGGCCUGUGCUGUCACGCUCCCUAAUGCAAGGGCUUGUAACCUCUUAAAGAAGCAAGAAGUUAUCAAUCAGGGGAGAAACAGUUGGUUUGCCGCUGCGUGAGCCACGGGAUCGCAGUGCCUGUUGGAUGCCAGAGUGCUUGCAGCCAGCAUCCACAGUCUCCUUCAGCAUCUGCAGGUGAAGAUCUUUUUCCUCUUUUAUAGAGAGGUCUCCAUUUCAAAAUCCAAGACAAGUUCUUUACACUGAGGAAAAAGAAAGUGACAUUAUUUUCAUAAGUCACCAAAUAGCAUAUAACUAAAUAUGUAUUAUAAAUUCUCACAAACAUUAAUAUACUGAGAAUUAAAGGAAUAAGAAUUGGGGGGAAAAUUACACACACAUUGUGUAUACACACACACACACACACACACACACAAACACACACAAACACAAAUACAUACAGAAGCCACAUCCACAUUAAAAUCUGUAUCCUUCAAAAUGAUUGAUUUCACAGUA
rnacentral:lncRNA from 1 species